rnacentral:rRNA from 1 species
GAAACACGGACCAAGGAGUGCAAGAGGCGUGCGAGUCUUUGGGCUGACAAACCCUCAGGCGGAAUGAGAGUAAAGGAGACUUGUCUCCGAGGCGAGAGCCCGCGUCAUUGAGGGCACAUCGUCGACCGAUCCCAGGCUACGCUGUGGUGGGAUUCGAGUGAGAGCGUGCCUGUUGCGACCCGAAAGAUGGUGAACUAUGCCUGAAUGGGGCGAAGCCAGAGGAAACUCUGGUGGAAGCUCGCAGCGGUUCUGACGUGCAAAUCGAUCGUCAAAUUUGGGUAUAGGGGCGAAAGACUAAUCGAACCGUCUAGUAGCUGGUUCCCUCCGAAGUUUCCCCCAGGAUAGCUGGAGCCCGGUGCAGUUUUAUCAGGUAAAGCGAAUGAUUAGAGGUCUUGGGGUUGAAACAACCUCAACCUAUUCUCAAACUUUAAAUGGGUAAGAAGCUCGGCUUGCUCGGUUGAAGUCGGGCGUGGGAAUGCCGGGGCUCCUAGUGGGCCAUUUUUGGUAAGCAGAACUGGCGAUGCGGGAUGAACCGAACGCCGGGUUAAGGUGCCCGAAUCGACGCUCAUCAGAUCCCAUAAAAGGUGUUGGUUGAUUUAGACAGCAGGACGGUGGCCAUGGAAGUCGGAAUCCGCUAAGGAGUGUGUAACAACUCACCUGCC